ensembl:lncRNA novel transcript
AUGCAAAUUCAACCUAAUUUGUCAUAUGAUUAAAACCCAAGGAAAAAGAAGUCUCGUUGUAAGCGAAUGCAACAUUUUCUACUUUAGUGAAGCGUCAUUGGGAAGAGAACUCCCUUGGCUCAGGGAGCUUUGCUGAACCAAGUUGUUCCUGUUGGGCUUUAAUGUCAAAGCAAUGCAGUCUAGCCACUUGGAGCCAAGGGUCCUAGACUCAGACUCUUGAAUUCUCCAAAUAGUAAGCAUUCAGAGGAAACUCUCCAAUUAGAUUUCUCUGCUACAAAUUACUAACAACAAUUGCUGCCACUAUAGCAAGGCUGACUUCAUUCUGCACCACUUUCAGCAGGUGACGGUUAAUCACGACCUUCCUGGAUUGUGGAAUAAAAAGAGAAGAGCUCUCAUAUCCAUGAAAAAGAACUUGAAUCCAUCUCAACUUACAUCCUUCAAAAUUGUCUGAAAUCUCUUCUUCGCUCAUGCAUCCUCAUAAAGAUGGUUAGUUGUGAUAAUCAUGCUUUCUGGACCCCAAAUUAAGAUGCUGAUUUGACUAGAGCAGGAUUUUCGUGCUUAUUUUUUGAUAAAAGAAAUAAUGUGGAAGAAAAAUAUUAAGUACAUUAAAUACAGGGUAAUUGGUGGUUGUAAGGAAGUAAUACAGCAUAUGACUUGAAAUCAAAGCUGUUUUGGAAUAUAAGGCAUAUAUAGGACAUAUACUUUAUAUGAACAUAGGAGACACCCACAUAUGCCUUCUGUGAACAUGAACAUAGAAUAUAGGUGCACUCUGCCUCUGGGGUAACUGAGGUUACUAAUGAUAUUCUAUUCUAGUUACUCUGGUAAUUUCCAUUGUCACACAUUCCAUACCUCCAGGGGAAUCCAAAUGGCAUAUACAUAAAUGCAAGUAGAUGAUAAAGAAAUCUGAAUCAUGUGUCUGCUUUGUGGGCAAUACUCAGCUUUUACAUGCCUUUGGAAAUGAUCAUUUUCCAAUGGUUUAAGUCAGUGGCUCUUAACCUGGAGAGCUUAGAAGACCACAGCUGUCUAAUUUUCAACUGGGGAUUAUGGGGUUUAAUCUGCCUGCCUGGCAAUUUUUAGAGCUUCCAAGGUAAUUUUUAUGUGUAGACAAAGUCCAGAGUUGCUCUUCUGUGUGAAAUAAAGAUAGAGUUCUGUCUCUUGAAAACACUCAGUAGUCUCUUCACAAACACAGCCCCAUAAAAACCUAAUGAAAAAGAGAAGAAAAGAUAGGGUUGACUUCACUGAAGUUCCGUACACCCACGGCAGAGUUUCUGAUGGGACUCUGUGUUUUACUUUUUGAGGAUAUAAGCAUUUGCUAUGUUUUAAGGAUGAUUCAUCUGCUAUACUCUACUCUGGAGAUGUAUGGUUUCUUCUUACACUGUUGGUGGGAGUGUAAAUUAUUUCCACCAUUGUGGAAGACAGUGUGGUGAUUCCUCAGGAUCUAGAAUCAGAGAUACCAUUCAACCCAGCAAUCCCAUUACUGUUUAUAUACCGAAAAGAUUAUAAAUCAUUCUACUAUAAAGACACAUGAACUCAUAUGUUUAUUGCAGCACUAUUUACAAUAGCAAAGACUUGGAACUAACCAAAAUGUCCAUCAGUGAUAGACUGGAUAAAAAAAAUGUGGCACAUAUACACCAUGGAAUACCAUGCAGCCAUAAAAAAGAAUGAGUUCAUGUCUUCUGCAGUGACAUGGAUAAAGCUGGAAGCCAUCAUUCUCAGCAAACUAACGCAGGAACAGAAAACCAAACACUGCAUGUUCUCACUCAUAAGUUAGAAUUGAAUAAUGAGAACACAUGGACACAGGGAGGAGAACAUCACACACUGGGGCCUAUUGGGAGGUGGGCGGUAAGGGGAGGGAGAGCAUUAGGACAAAUAGCUAAUGCAUGCGGGGCUUCAAACCUAGAUGUUGGGUUGAUAGGUGCAGCAAACCACCAUGGCACAUGUAUACCUGUGUAACAAACCUGCACGUUCUGCACA